rnacentral:lncRNA from 10 species
CUUGUUAUUUUUAAUUAAUCUUUGCUGCCUUUCUAUACAAGACAUAAGCCAAACAAUACAAUUAAAUGACAGUCCCUGCUUAUCUCUGAGGCAGUGUGCGUGGUUCUUUGGAGCUGGCACUCAGUUUGAAGCAUGAGAAAAAGAAGAGGAAAAAGCAAGACUUUUCACAUCCUGAACUGGCUUCUGCUCCCGUCAUCCCUGAAUUUUCUCUCUCUGUGCUUUGCCUUAGUAUUUCCUCUGGCCUCAUAAAGAAAAGGAAAGAACAAAACAACCCACAGAUUAUUAACUCUACAAAAGUCGUUCUCAAACAGCCUGGAUGGUUGUCUGAAAUAGGCAUGUGUUGACUUUGCACAGGUGGUGAAACGAGUGGUCUGUGGCUAGUUUUCAGGCUUCCAUGUGGAACCCUUCUGUGAGGCAGCCCUCAUGAAGAGUGCUGAUCCCAAAAAUGCACACGCGUAUGAGCAGAGCCAGCGGGGCUGGGAGUGGAAAAUACCAGUGUGUAAACACGUUAGAGAUGGUGCCAGGAGUUGUGCCCCUUUCUCUAAAAAAAAAAAAAAAAAAAAGUUAAAUAAAUUCUGAUGCUUUUUCCACUUUGAAAUCUUUUAAGGAUGUAAGAGGUAGAAGCAGUGUGCAUCCCCUGUGUAAUUCUGCCCACUAGUCCACAGAGAGCGUGCCUCUUAAAUAACCUCUUUAGGGAUUUCACUUGUGCGGAGCUUAAAGAUCUUUUAAACAUCUAUACUAAUCUUUAAAAAUAAAGCAAAAUGAGGCCAGGUGCAAUGGCUCAUGCCUGUAAUCCCAGGACUUUGUUGGACCAAGGUGGGAGGAUCACUUGAGGGCAGGAAUUCGAGACCAUCCUGGGCAACAUAGCGAGACCCCUAUCUCUACAAAAAAAAAAUGAAGCACAAUGGGUAUACCUUGAAGACAUUAUGCUAAGUGAAAUAAACCAGUCACACAAAAGGGCAAAUUCUUAUGAUUCCACUUACAGGUGGUACUUAGAGUGGUCAAAUUCAUACAGACAGGAAGUAGAAGGGUAGUUGCUGGAGCUGGGGAGUGGCGGGAGUUAUAGUUCAAUGUGUACAGAGUUUCAGUGUGGGAAGAUGAAAAGGUUCUGGUGGUGGAUGGUGGUGACGAUUGCACAAAAAUAUGACUGUACUUACUGCCACUUAACUGUACACUUGAAAAUGGUAAAUUUUAUGUUAUGCAUAUUUUGUCAAUAAAAAAAUGAAGCAAAGUAGGCAAGGAAAUAAACUGAGGUAAAGAGAGUAGGAUGGAUAUCUUUUCCUAUCUGUUGGGGUCAGAAUAAAGAAAGUAAUAGGACUUUGACUUUUGGUUUCUUUUUGCUACAUAAACUAUGAUUACUGCCUCUCUCCCACUUUUUAAAAUUGUUGUUUGUUUUUGAGACAGGGUCUCACUCUGUCACCCAGGCUGGAGUCCAGUGGCGCAAUCUUGGCUUAUUGCAACCUCCGCCUCCCGGGAUCAAUCAUUCUGUAUGACUCCGCAUACAAGAGUAGAGACGGGGUUUCACCAUGUUGGCCAGACUGGUCUCAAACUUCGGACCUCAAGUGAUCCGCCUGCCUAGGCUUCCCAAAGUGCUGGGAUUAUAGGCGUCAGCCACUGGGCCCAGCUUCCCUUCCUCACGUUCUCUGGGAAUAAUGAUAAGGGAAAAGGAUCUUUAGCUCCAACUACAAAAAGGGCAGCAGAAAUAAUCUUGUCUCAUUCCAAAUAGAUUUUCUCCCCUGCUCAUGUUGCCUACUUCUCUUCUCACUGCUCUCUAAACAGGAUGGCUGGGUCUGAUUGGCAAUCGCAGCAGAGCCCAGCAUCUUUCACAUAUAGAAGUACUCAAUGAAUAAUACUUGUGAAAAUUGAAUUUCUGCCUUUUUACGAAAUAUGUAUUUCAUAAAGAAGCUUCUUUGUACUUGCUAAAUGAGAAUCUACUAAGAGGGAAGGAUCCCUCCCACAUGCAGGGGUUCCUCUGGACUGU